rnacentral:rRNA from 1 species
UACGUAGGGGGCAAGCGUUGUCCGGAUUUACUGGGCGUAAAGAGCGUGUAGGCGGCCAAGCAGGUCCGUUGUGAAAACUGGAGGCUUAACCUCCAGACGUCGACGGAAACCGCGUGGCUAGAGUCCGGAAGAGGAGAGUGGAAUUCCUGGUGUAGCGGUGAAAUGCGCAGAUAUCAGGAAGAACACCAAUGGCGAAGGCAGCACUCUGGGACGUGACUGACGCUGAGACGCGAAAGCGUGGGGAGCAAACGGG